CCUACGGGAGGCAGCAGUAGGGAAUAUUGCUCAAUGGGGGAAACCCUGAAGCAGCAACGCCGCGUGGAGGAUGAAGGUUUUCGGAUUUUAAACUCCUUUUGUUAGAGAAGAUAAUGACGGUAUCUAACGAAUAAGCACCGGCUAACUCCGUGCCAGCAGCCGCGGUAAUACGGAGGGUGCAAGCGUUACUCGGAAUCACUGGGCGUAAAGAGCGCGUAGGCGGGUUAGCAAGUCAGAUGUGAAAUCCUAUGGCUUAACCAUAGAACUGCAUUUGAAACUGUUAUUCUAGAGUAUGGGAGAGGUAGGUGGAAUUCUUGGUGUAGGGGUAAAAUCCGUAGAGAUCAAGAGGAAUACUCAUUGCGAAGGCGACCUGCUAGAACAUAACUGACGCUGAUGCGCGAAAGCGUGGGGAGCAAACAGGAUUAGAUACCCUUGUAGUC
rnacentral:rRNA from 1 species